rnacentral:lncRNA from 1 species
UAGUUUGUUUUUUUAUCAAUCUCAGUAUUUCCCUCUCUCUUCAUCCUCACAAAUUUUAACUAAUUAAUUAAGUUAAGAAUCAAUGGCAACAAAUGUGAGUAGUUCUUUGAUGAACGGCGGCGGCCGUUGCCGGAGUUUUUCUAAGAGUUACGACGUUGUUGGCAGACGUCGGCCAAUACCGAGAAGGGGACAAGUAAAGGUCGGAAUUGUCUUAGGCCUUGCUCAAAUUUUGGCUUCAGCUUUUUCUCCUACUACUCGUACCAAAUCUGCCCCUUUUGCACAACCAUUUUGAUUAUUUUUUUUGUUUAUUCUUUUUUAUAAAAAAUUUGGGAGAGAUAUUAGUUGAAGAAAGUAGCUAGUAGCUAGUAGCUAGUAGAGCCUAGAGACUUUUGAAUGUGUUGUAUAAAUAUUUUGUUAAGUAUAAUUAAGCCCUAUGAUCAUUUAUUUGUAUCUAAGAGGCUAGUUGUUAUGAAUGUGUUGUAUAUUUAUUAUAGUAUAAUUUAUUUGAAUCUAGAGACUAGUUGUUAAGUAUAAUUAAGCCCUUUGAUCAUUUAGUUGUAUCUAAGAGGCUAGUUGUUCUGAAUAUUUUGUAUAAAUGUUUCUUUUCAUGUAAUUUUUAUCAAAGUCUAUCCGACACUAUAAAUUGGUAACAAUAGUGUUCUCGUUGAGAGCUCAUACUUGCAAGUUGGGACUUGUAAAUGGGGGAUCUGUGGAAAGGGCUAUUUAGAGGCCGAAUUAAAAUAUUCAUACUGAGUUAGUGUCGUUAGUAUGAAACCGCUAUAGCUGGGUGGGCUGACGAGAACGUCGGCUUUGCAAGGGGUGUGUAUUGAUACGAACUCUAUACUAAAUCAUAGGAAAUAAUGUCACGUCGGUUUACAAAGCAAAAGAACAAUAUUAUCCCACCUGUUGACAACCACCUUUUCCUCAAGGUGUAAUUUAAGAGUAUUUAUGCAUGUUUCAACUUUGGUUAGCACAAAUAUCCCCCCUUGAUCAGCAUUGUAUCCAAAGAAUUUAUACAUUUCUACCCGCCCUAUGUAGCUUGAUUAUACUCUAACUAUGCUACUAUAUUAUUUUCACUUUCAACAUUCGUAUUGAAGCCAGAAUGUGUUACAGCACCUUGAGAGAAUGAAUAUGUAUUGUUAAAUGCAAGUAGAUCAUAAGGUGUCACCUCAAUGCUUUCCUUUAUAUAGUGACAAAACAAAAUUUGUUGAAGCAAAACCAUGAAGUUGAUCACAGACGUUCUGCAUGGGAAAGUCUCUUGAAGCAUUGACAUGGGUCACAACAUCACCCCAGUUAUCCCACUCUUCUUCAAUAAGUGUUGGAAGCUAAUUUCUCAACAGAAUUUUCACAUAUACGAAUCUUCAAUAACCAUCCAAAACUUGCCAAUAAAUUCCCGUUGCAGACGAAGGCAAUCACAUGCUUGUCUUUAGUAGCCUGCUCAUGCCUAAGAGCUAAUUGCAUCUGGAUCCAGG